CGUUUUGAUGAGCACGGAGGGGAAGCAUGUGUCCGACUCGGCAACAAGCACGGGGGGGUUGGAGGUCCGGGGAUCGCCAGCAACAGGAGUGGGGAUGGAAGGGGUCCAGCUGCCUGGGUAGUUCACCAGUCGCUAAGUGGCCAAAUGACUCAAUGAACGAAUGAAUGAACGAAUGAACGAACGAAUGUAUGGCGAACGAACGAAUGUAUGGCGAACGAACGAAUGUAUGCGCGCAUGCAUGCAUGCAUGAAUCAAUGAACGAAUAACGAAUGAAUGCAUGAAUGAAUGAAGACCGCAACCCGAGCAGGUAUCCCGGGCCUCCUCCUCUCCUCCCCCUCAAAGCUGUCUUCAGACGCCUCGUUUUCAGGUUUUGAAUCGCCAAGUUUCGAUUUCCAUUCCUUCAACACGCGAACCCCCUAAAAUCCCACCAUCCCCCCAAGCACGCACGCACGCACCCACCCACCCACCUCUCCAGCCACGCCACGCUCUCCGCGUCAAGGUGGUUCGUUGGCUCGUCCAGCAGCAAAAUGUCCGGGGCGGACAGCAGCAGGCGACACAGGGCAACACGGCGACGUUCACCUGUGUGAAGCACCGGAGGCGUUUUGUACGCGUUAUGUAUGUAAUGUCGCAAUUCAUGUUACAUACGGCUGUGCAAAAGGUCGCCGUCGUUGCCUCUUGCCCACACCCACCGCACCCAAAUUACAUGCAUUUCUUCCACCAUAUGCACCACCCACCUUUCCCCCCAAACACACCUUUAGACAGACACACACUUACAACCCUAUACAUUCUUACACACACUCUCACACACACUGUCACACGCACUCUCACACACACUCUUACACACACUCUCACACAUGCACCCUCUCUCUCACCUCCGGACAGGUGUUUCACCAAAGCGUCAGGUGGAGGGCACCGAAGCGCGUCCAUGGCCUGCUCCAAAGUCCUCUCCACUUCCCAGCCAUUGAUGGUGUCAAGCUCGGCCUGUUAGUGUCGUACACAUGUACAACAAAAUCGUACAUGAGGGAGCGCGUCCAAAAGUGCGAAGUGUCAUGGUACAGCGCACAUCCAUUUGUACAUGUUUGUACAUGUUUGUACAUGUUCAUCACAAAACGCGCACGUUCGCGCACACAACUAGACAAACAGACAGACAUACAAACAACGACAAGCGGCCGUCGAACAUUCUCCUCCCACACACCCACUCACCUCAUCCCGCCAUCCCUCGACCGGAAAUCCGACGCUAAUUCCAUUCUCAAACCUCCUCCGCGUCUCCUCCCAGCAGUCCUCAGCAGCAGAUCCUAGAAACGUUUGCCAAAUCUUUGCGCCCCACUCCCUUCUCCCCCCCCCACCGGAAUAGCCCUCGACGCCCACCUCAGACCCCCGAAGACGACCACAACCCACAACAUUGCCACCCCACCACCCCAACCCCACCCCACCACCCCAACCCCACCCGACUACCCCAACCCCACCCCACCACCCCAACCCCACCCCAACCCCACCACCCCAACCCCACCCCAACCCCACCACCACGGGGCUCCGACCUGUAACCGAUCCAUCUUGCUAGACAGGGCGUCAAGAUCAGCUCCUGGCUCACCCAUCUGCAAAAUCGUGCAAUCGUACGGAUAAGUCCGAAGCAAAGGAGCAAGGUCAUGGGGUAAAGGAAAAUAGCAAACGCAAGCAGUGAUGGUUAAGGGAAAGGCGCUGAUUUGCCGCGUGACCGUAGGGCUUGGUGCUGCCGUACGUACGUACGUACGAGCAACGUGCGCCAAAUUACCACACAACAACAUAUGUACGGGAGCACACACACACGCGCGCUUGUUGUGCAGUACAGAGUGUCGUACCUGCAGACUGAGCGCCUCGUACUGCGCCAGCUUAUCGCGUACAUUCUUCAACGCAGGUUCAAUGUUGGAAAUGACGGUGUCACCUGUCCGGGAAUUUGUUUGAUUAACUAGUGAUUGACAAGCGAUUACUUAAUCAGGAAACAUGACACAGAUUGGAAAAAAAAUAGUGCAGAGGACAGCGCGCUUUACAAUGGAUAUGCCGGGUUAGCGACGAUCUGUGACAGAUCUGCCGUACUGUCGUAUUGUCGUACCGUCGUUAAGCUCCGGCUCUUGUGACAGGUAGCCGAUCUUGAUCCCGGGUGCCAUUACGAUUCGGCCAUCCGCCAGCGCUGUGUCCACUCCAGCCAAAAUCUUCAUCAGGGUCGACUUGCCUAAACAGGACAUGACACACAGCGACACAAGCGAGACUUGCCUACUGACAUACAUACAUACAUAUAUAUACAUACAUAUAUACAUGCUGAAAAGAAACAGGUAACCACAAUGCCCACCCGUCUAUACGCGCACACAGACAAGCACAUACGAUACAGACACACAUACACACACACUCGUAGGCAAUGAAAGGUGGCAACUGAUCCUGGCCUAGCCGCGCAUACCGCGCAUACCGCGUAGUUGCAUGGAGUACCCUUUUCCCCCCUUCCUCUCAUGCCCUGGCCUCCUCCUACCGUAGGCUCUACCAACCCGGCCGACGUUUCCUCCCCUCCCCGCCCAAACCCAGUCCCCACCCGCUCCGUUUGCCCCCAGCACUCCGAUCUUGGCUCCGAGGUACAUGCCCAAACUGACACCCUUGAGGAGCUCCUUGCCUCCCGGGGCCACCUGGGUAUGAGGGGGGUUAUGAGGGGGAGAGAACGAGGAGGGUGUGUACGGGGGAGUGUGAAGGGGGGUUGAGGGGGAGCAUGAGGGGGGUUAUGAGGGGGAGAGGAGGAGAGAAUGACGGGGGGUGUACGGGAGGAGGGUCAUCAACUCCAGGGGGGUUAUCUUCCCUCUCAACGGAUGACCCUCCCGGAUUUCAGAUCCGUACUGGCAACCUCCUGUGGUUGUCCCGUACUGUACUGCGAAUCGGUUGUUCGUUGGUCGUACCUUGCGAACUCGCUCCAACGACAAGAUGAUCUUGCGGGUCUCUUCUUUGUAGGCACCUCCCUGAAGCAUCGGGGCAAAAGGCGGUCGAAGGGGAAUACGUGAUGCGGGACGAGAGCUGUACGGAAGAGGGCGACAGCGGGGUUGGGGGAUAGGGGACAGGAAAAAGGAGGGGGGAAGAGUUAUAUGGUCAUGCAAAGCUUAGGCAACAUCCGCCGCUGUGCCGACAUCCAUUCAAGCCACCCCGCUGUCGUACGAGUCAACAACGUGUGUGUGUAUGUGUGUGUGUGUAAAGGUUACAAGUAUCUGACCAGGCCUGACACUGGCCAGGGGUUGCUGCCCACCCCCUGUGUGUGUAUGUAUGUGUAUGUAUGUGUAUGUGUGUAAGCGUGUCUGUGUGAUGUAAGGGCGAAGCAAGGCGCAUUCAUCGGAUGCACAAGGACAUACAUACACUCUGCUCCUCCGCCCUUUUCCGAGUGACCCAGCCAUAAGCCCCUCGUGGUGGCUGAGGGCAUCCGAAAACUCUGGCCUGAACGGAGCAAGGCUGAGCGGAGCCGAUCAGCGCUCUGAAACCUCCCCGGCCACUCACAUCGCGCGCGGCAUACUUGUACCUUUUUGCCUACACUGCCGGGCCCUCCCUUUCACUGGUCGCCAACAGAAACAGAGCUGUGUGCUCUAGGAAAACUAACGGAAUUGCACAAGUGGAUGCUCGUACCUGCUUGUCGCACACAAACCCAAAUCGACAGCCGUGGGACACGUACAGACCUAACCUACCGCCUACCAUGUCCAUAGUGCACAUAAAACGGUGCAACCCUCUUCCGCAACCAUUCCAUUCAUCUCGACAUUCAACCCCACCACUUCCUUCUCACAGCUCAGGUUUCCUAUGCACACACGCUCACACGCACACACACAGACGCGCGCGCGCGGGCCCCCCCCCGCCAACAUACACACACACUUGCCGUGCAUUCACACGCGCACCAGCUUCCUCACCUGCCGCACUUCCCCCGGGCUCUUGUACUUGGUGGGCGUGCUGCUGCCGCCACCACCACCACCACCACCACCACCACCACGCGCGGGCCCGGUGGAGGGGGGAGCUGUAAAGUGGGCAAACCGUGUCGGAGGUGAGUUGAGCUGGUGCAAAAAACACAGCACACUAAUGUGUGCGCAACAGCGUGAGGGAAGGGAUGGAUGGUAAGCAAAUGAGCAUACGCUUCCAAUUGGUGUUACACAUACGUGAUAACUGAAGACACAUAGGUGAUCUGCAUAUGUCCGCGUCUGUGCGCGCGUGAGUGGACGUGUGAGCGCGCAUCGCGAUUUGAAUGAUCCGAGGGUUGUCCGCGGAUUCGCAUGGCCGCCCCGCACCUCCUCCCCCCCCCCCCCGGGAUUCACAUGGCAGCCCCCCGCGGGCGACUCCAGCAUGCGCGGACGGUUCCCAUUUCUAGGGUUAUGGAUGCGGAAGUGAACUGAAAAGGCGAGAAACCCAUGCAACCCAUGCAAGGAAAGGAGCCCGGGAGGGCUCGGAGGAUAGAGCCACUGGCUCCAAGUCCCCUAAACUCCGUCUGCCUGCGGUCCCGGUGAGGCAGCGACAGCAAGAAAAUAGAGAUCAGGCCUGGGCGGCCAUGCAAACCCUGGGAUAAGGUUCCUGGCGCAGUUUGCUAUGGUGCAUGACCCCUGACGACGUAAAACACUCGGUUGUGGACGGUGUUCCGCCAUGUCGACGGAAGGACGGAUGGAAGUACCUGCAGUCUUGGGGCCGCUCUUCUUUUUAGCAGCGUGCACAUUUACGCAAAAGCGACGACCGAUGCUAGGGAUGAGCGUGAAGGGGCUGGACUUCCAGGCCAUGCGGCCAGAACGCAAGGACGGCGACAGCAUAGCUUCCCAGGUGCCAACCACGAGAGGAGGAAUCUAAAAGGCCGAUUCAAGGAAGUCACAGGGAUAAAAGCGUUCGCCUACAAAAUUGGUUCGUGUGGCAAUUUGCUUGCAACUUUAAAUGGCAAGUCAACGCCACCAGUACAUUCGUGCAGCCUCAGAUAUUUUAGCUGCAGCUAAACAAAUACUUGUUGCAGCCAAAAAAUUUACAGCUGGAGGAGCGACAGGUAAUUAAACCGAACGAUUUAAACCAACCCAUACUUGCACACGCAAGCCAUGAGUUUGCAAAGUAAGCCCCAAAUCCAUGUCACAAUUAAGUUAAAGCUACGCAGUGCGUAGUAAUAUCAGCAUAUCCAAGCUUUCAACAUCUUGGACCCAUGGACCCACCGCUCCGGUGCUGUCCAACUCCCGUGGCUUGGGUCUCCGCAAACAUCCCAAAUCCCAAUAUCAGCCCAGGCGCAUAUUUACUUUCACCAGCCUUAAGCAUAGAACCGAUUGAUAUUUGCUGCAUCGUGCGUGUCAAUGUAUAUGGAUAGGGCGCACACACCGUGACAGCAGCUGACGGCAGCACCUAUACACUCCAAGAGCCAGACGAUCUUUCUCUCAAGCACCAGUACUACCUAAUCUUGCGAAAACCAUCUAUCCAUUCCGGGGAAGGUAUAGAAAAAGUGAGGGCUAUGUGUACUCUUUCCCAAAUCAACAUGAAUGAGGACUACAGAGGUGCGGCCAGGACGACAGAGACGGGGCCCUUUCAAAAGGGAAAAUAUACAUUUUCUUCUUACAGUUAUCGGCCCAUGGCCUUACGAGGCUGGGCUUACUCAACCAGGUGAGACAAGAGGGUGUCGGGAAAGUGUGUGUAACAGACACAACACGUAAACCCACUGGGCAGCACCCAGCGCAACGACGAACCCUAAAUCCCUAAGUAGGUAGGAACGGUGGGCUCUAGCCUUACGCUGCCCAGCCAAUACUGCAAACAGGCAGCAGUGACAAAAAAAUCUAUCAGCUCGUGCUAUCGUGCAUGAUCUCUAUCUCUCUAACACACUCACAACCGUUACCGCGAGCGGCGACAGACUCUGCGGUACGGCAAGCACGAAAACCUCCUCUCCUCCUUCCCUCCCUCUCUUCAAUGUCUUCCGUUCCUUCAAAAGGAAAGCUUGUGUCGAGUCAAAAAGCGUCGCUCACUGCUCAAGGAGCCUUGACUUCUUACGCACUCGCCGAGACAAACACGCGGAUCCCUCUCGCCUCCCCUCUCCCCGCUCACGCUCCUCCGCUCAGGUGCAGAGAGGAACAGGCAGGACAGCCGUAUCGCAAAUCAAAAGCGACACCGACACAUGGAUCAAUACCAUCAACACCACGAUUCCUCUCCUCUCACUGCCACAAAAAACAAUUACCCGUCGUCACCCCUUGAUGAGACCGUUAACGCACAGCAACAACAAGCGUAUGCAGCAGAAGGUCGAGCGAGAAUACCGUUAGCACUAUCACACGGAACCAUAACUGAGCAUGUAGUUAGAAAUUAACGCAAACCAAAUUCACCAGAACCAGGAGUAGCAAAUAACAUAAGUCAAGGCUGGUAAUGUGACCCUGCAGACCUGCCUCUCCAAAGGCGUAAGGCCCAACGAACAAGGCCACAGCAGAUCAAUACUUAGACAAAAACAUGGAACCGCUUCCAGUCGCUUCCUCGUUUCACAACAAAGCAGCACACGCUAUCCCUUCCAGAGUCGCGCAAGAAGCAAACACGUACACUCUCGCCGCCACGCCUUAUAUGCCAAGUCAACACUCCCCGUCCGGCAGCCUGAACCCCACAAAUAGUCCUUCAGGCCUUCAGACUACCCUCUUGGGACCGUUAGUCGCCGUUGGGCGAGUCUCGGUCAUCCUCAUCACGCGCAACGCGCAGCGAGCAGGAUUGGGUAGCUUGGUUCGCCUUCUUGGCUUGGUCGAUGACCUCCAAGCGAUUGAAGACAAAUCCUCGAAGGAAAGCGAAGCACCUUGGGAUAAUGAUGGCGAUGAUGAUGAUUUAGUAGGCGAACAAGUACUCUGUUGCCGUGUUUGUCGCUGUUGUCUUUUUACUUGCCCUUGCGGCCCUUGUUGGCGGCUGAGGGGUCCUUACGGAUGCGAACGCUCUUAGGGGUAACCUGCGAGCGGCCGGGGCAACAGCAGCAGCAGCAGCAGCAGCAGCAGCGUUCGGCGGGGAGGACAGGGAGGAGGGAAGAGACGAGACGAGGAGUACAAAAAACGUGAGUAGCUGCGGCAAGGAGGCCGGGUAAAAUACGACAGUGAAGAAAGUGGCAACGGCAGCAGGGCGGUGGACACGUAAUGGCGGCACCGUGCGCCACCUUAUCACAAAGCAAAACAAAAAGUUACAUCAAUCUCUCACCUCGACCUGCUCGUCAUCAUUGAUGUACUCGAGCGCGUCGUCCAGGCCCAUGGUCCGCGGCUCGUCCAGGCCAACCUGUACGGCAUACAAAUCGGCCUUACCAGUACGACAUCUACAAGUUGUACGACACAACGGUGGGGGCAUCCUUCGAUACCAUCACCAGCACUGGCAGCAUGCAUGCAGCAUGCGACACAGGAUCUGCCCUGAAGCUUGCGCCCUUACUUCGCACUUGCCUUAAUUUCCUUGGACGCAGCCCGCAUGUUUGUGAGCUGCUUGGUCUUGCACACGUUAACCUUUAGGUCGCCAGCCUUGGCGUGAACACCCACACACUGCAAACAUGAACAGCAACAACCGCCAUCACAAAAACAGCACCGCCACCGUUAUCGACGAGACAAUAUGCCAAAUUCGUGGGAUAGGGCGUGGGUAAAAGGUAGGAAAAGAACAAAGCAAGGAAAAGAAGAAUCCGGGCCAGAGGCCAAAGCGAAACAUUUGUAGAAACCGGCCAAACAGUUAAAGAAUUUUAAACUGCGCUCCUCAAAUGCGGUGAUUUAGCCACCGUACGAGACUGAAGUACGAGGCAAGGAAGACCGAUAACAAAGCCGGAACCGGGCAGCUAGGGUAGCAAAAAAGGCUAACACCGAAGAAAACAACAUCGAAGCCGGAGGUCUAAGGAAACCAGCCUAACGGAAUCUUGAGCGGCGCAUACCACAAAGCGCUGGAAAUGUUGGAAUGCGCUUCGUCCACCAAUUCCCUUGAGGCCUCAUCCCCCACUCCUAGCCCCCUUUCCCUGCCGUACCUGGCCCUCGUACACUUGGUCGCCUGGCCGCACAAACAACUGUCCGCGCUCCUGCGCGCUCUCCAACGCGUACGACGUCACCUGCAACCACGUACGACAGUGCAACUCAGAUAAAGUGUUUAUUUCCAUUAGCGCAGGGUCAGCGCUUCACAUCAACUUGGCUGUGAUGCUUGAAUGUGUCGUACAUACGGCGUAGACCUUAGGUAAAGGUAUGUAUAUGUCGCUCUCUUCCCUCAUCUUGAAGUGUGGAAAUAAAAAUACACAACAGGAAUGUAAUGCAUGUUGACCAAAUGUGCUCUGCCGCCGCCGAGUAUCCAACACAUGCUGAGUCACCCAUCAUCGUCAUAUAGCAAACACGAAACCAACACAUCUCCUCCCUUCGCUCCUUACCCCGUCCCUGCCACAUGUAAUAAACUGAAUCCGUGGCCAUGGACAGCCAGCCGCAAAGAAACACGGUUCCAAAAACAACCCCCUUCUCCCGCUCCCAACCACCCGCUCACCUGCCCGGUUUCGUGCGCCACCAGAGAGCCGUUCUCGCGCAUAAGAAUUUCACCGGCAACGGGGGCAUACCUGCAUCAACGAACGCAUGUUACCGUAAUUUACAUGUAUAUUGGACCGCUACAUGUUUUCAGUCGAAACUGUUGACAGACCACCCCAAAAGCUAUUCACAUCUCAGACGUCCAGCCAACGACUCACUACCCCUCCCAUUCCCAUCCCCCUCCUCAUCCCACAAGAAAUUCAUUACCCCCAAAGUACGUCUUCGGGCCCCCAUAACAAUUCCCCCCACAAACACUCACCCAAGUUACCCCUCUCAAAACCCAAUAUCCCCCCGGCGGGGGGCACCACUCGUCAUGCCCCACCCACGCACACGCACACGCACAGCCACUCACUCAAGGAAGAGGGUGUUCAUGACCCCAAGGCCGCGCGUGGCGGUCAGCAGCGCGUUCUUGAGACCCAACAAACCGCGAGUGGCGAUCCGGAACUUGACACGCGAGGCGCCCUAGGGAAGGGAAAACACAGACGAUCCAUGAAUCCAUCCAUGGUCAGUACACAUUUGGAUGUGGAAAACGUGAUGUAACAGGAUGUAGGGGUGCGGAUGGACCUAGACCCGGUAGGUCUUACAGGCCCUUGGAUUCACAGCAGGAUAGACGGACCCUUCAAUUCACCCCAGCGGUGAUCACCCAGGCCCAUCCCCUCUCCAUCAUUCGGGAGAGCUCGUUAGACCUCAACGUCAACGCUUCGAGGCCACGUGCAUGGACGUGCAUGCUGGUCUUCCCAUUGCCUUUUUUCACCUUCUCACGCCUUUCACGUCCUCAAACCACACCUCUACACACCCAAACAACCAGGCUUUUAAUAAUCGCUCCGUUUUUUUGUUAUCAUAUUUCCUUUGUGUUAAUUAAUCAUAUUAAUGUAAAAUAUGUCCCACAUUUCCAUUUUCGGUCUGGUCUGGUGACACCACUGCAAGUAGCAGUUCAGUAGGGUUCAGGCUUGUAAAAGCUUUUUAUACCUGAAUGGACGGAAUGAGGUCCACCAUCUCGCCCUUGCGCUGGGCGAACAGCUCCACCACAGCACCCACGUAGUUCUCGGGAACCUGCGGGAGCAAAAGGGACGAUGUGGAAGGAUCAUGAAAUUUGUCAAUUUUUGGAUGAUGACCAGGGACGCAACACGCGAGUGAGCGAAAGAGAUUUUCAGAGGAAGAAAGGUUCCCUCUGGUAGGCACUAAAUAGUACUACACCGUACGCGGGAGAUGCGGGAACGGGUGUUUUUAUACGGGCUACAUUUGAGUUUUGAAAUUUCUCACAGGUCGGCUGGAAUACAAGGUAUAAAACGGCUGCAUGAGCAUCAUGCAAGUAAAAAAGCUAUCGACCGGGCAUCUUAUAAGUGACCGCGAACAUUGGUAAACAACAUACCACCACCAGGCACAAUGGCAAUCGAAGGCAACCAACCCAAUCCAUCCACCCACCCGGUUCACACACCCGCCCCGCGGACGUCCCACAGAAAAUGUCAGAACAACACAAAGAACAGAAACCCCGACACACUGACACGUGGCCUGUGUCGCGUCAUACGACUGUAGCAUCGACAAAACACGUGCGUACGGCAGACUGCCAGUUACGUUUGCUUCAAAAAAAGCCCCGUCGUCCCCGGGGCCCUCCGCCCCCUCCCCGCAGCCGCGUGUACAUAAUAAUAACAUGCGGCACGACUUAUAUUACACACGUAAUAGUACGGCACUUACGUCAACAAUGGCCUCCUCGUACGGCUCGCAGUUCUUGCCGUUGACCUCGCGGGUAAUGACCUUAGGCGGGCCAAUCUCGAACUCGUAGCCCUCGCGGCGCAUGUUCUCGAUCAAGAUACCCAGGUGCAGAGUACCGCGCCCCGAAACCACGAACGAAUCCGAAGUCUCACCAGGAUCGACCCUGCAGCAGUUUCGUUGUAGGUCGUCCAGGGACAGAAAUAUAGGGUUAAUCAAGGUAACUUUUUACAGUUUUACGGGUUUUUCCCUGCGGUUUUAUCCUUAUCCAGAGGGUUAGGUCUUAACAUUUCAAGCGUCAGGUCAGGAUAGGAAAGCUUGCAGGUACGGGGAACGCACCCCACGACUAUGUAUAACACACACACACAACAAUACUUCGUGGCGAGUCAGAGAGUUUAUUGGCCACCGAGCAGGGACGAUUGUUCGUCCAAUCCCUCCCGUUCCGUUGCACUAACAACCCCCCUCGUUCUCCUUUCACUACUGCUACCGUUACAGUAACUAUUACUACUACUACCACUGCUACUACAAAUGCAGCUGCUACUGCUCAUGUCGGGCGUAAACAAAAAACCCCGCCAUCCGCCCUCACCUCAGCGCCAGGUUGCGCUCCAGCUCCCGGUCCAGACGGUCUUUCAAGUUACGCGAGGUGACGUACUUGCCUUCCUUGCCGGCGAACGGAGACGUGUUCACCUUGAAAGUCAUGGACACUGUGGGGUCCUCGACCUGCGUGUGUUUGGGCGCGUGUGCGAGUGCCGGGAGCAGGAGAGGAGAGGAGGAAUGAGGAGGAGUGAAUACAAUGGAAGGAUGUACAUGCAAAGGAAAUCAUGUGCAAACUACAAAAACACAAAAAGGAUCACCCGCCCAAGGUUGAUCUGCAGGGUUUAGCAUGUCGUUGUUUAAUUUCUUAGGGGCGUAGAGGCAACCAAAAGAGGCUGCCAAAAGAACGGCAGAAAAGCAGUGCGUGUGGGUGACCAGGGUGAAGGGAGCAUGGGGAGUGUGAAGGAUGCGGACACACAACACAACACUCGACCCGACCUGAGCCACAACCCAAUCCGAGCCAACCCGACCCGCACCUUGAUGGUCGGCAGCGGCACGGGGUUCUCACGUUGCGUAAUCGUCUCGCCAAUCUUGAUAUCCGCAAUACCCGACAACGCACAAAUGUCACCAGCCGUCACCUCCUCAACGGGCACGCGGGAGAAGUUGUCGUACACAAACAGCUCGGCGAUCUUGGCGGUGCGGACCUUGCCCGGCUCCAGGGAGCUACGGCACAAGAACACGACAGCGCGACGAAAGUGUAAUUGUACGUGAUGUUUGAUGUUUGCGGUGCUGCGGUGAUGUUUUCGAUGCUGCGUAUCUGUUAUCUUAAUAUUAUUAAUCUGCGUGUCUUUCUACUUAGUGUUGCGAGUGUGCGUGCGUGCGUGCGGGGAUAAGAUGGAAAACAUGCCCUGCGCGGAGGCGGCCCGUGUCUGCGGCUGGUAAGGAUUUACUUGCCCUCGGUGGUCGUGCCGUACCUCGUACGGACCCACCUACCACUCGAACAGAACCCCACCAUCUCACACAGGCUCCCCGCACCGACUUACCUGCAGAUCGAAAUAGUCUGUCCACGGCGAAUGGUACCCGACGUCACCCGGCCAAUAGCGAUACGGCCCUUGUGCUCGUCAUAGUCAAUGUUGGCACACAGCAUCUGAAGAGGAGCUUCGGGGGCCACAGUGGGGGGACGAAUCUGCGGGAAAAAGGGGUUACAGGCCCCGGAUGGGGGGCGGGGGAGAAAGGGUAAGACGAACCACAGACGAUUGAAGCAGAUGCCAGAGGUACACGGAUAGUCCAGGAGAAGACUAGGGGGGAGAGGGGGAUUUGUUGGGGGGGCUAGGGGAGAGUUUGAAUACACAGACACAGAUACACACAUGGAUUCGGCGCACUUCCAGACGUCUCAAGGUGACACGCGCGAGAGAAACAAAUAGGAGUAGCGUGUGUGGUCUGACCCCAUGUGACGGUCUUUCAGAGGCGACGGGAAAAACUUCAAGCAGCGAUGAAAACACGAGUAGAAUGUACGAUGCGCCGUACCUCCUUGACGAUGGUCUCAAAGAGCGGCUCCAGGUCUGCUGCAAGUCCGUCCGGCGUCAUACCAGCAAUGCCGUUGACACCUGUGUAGAACAGAGAGGGGAGGAAGAGACACAAAAGUAAAAAAAAGAGGAACGCCAAAAGGAAAAGAGUUACUUGAUUACCUGAACGCUUCAAGGGCCAUUACACUCGGGAACAUUUCGGUCACGGACCACUGAAAAUAAGAUUACGUUUACACUUUAUUACGCAGUCACCAACGAUGAACAACAAACGCAUAUUAUAACAGGACAAAAAACGUACAGGAAGAUAAAUCCUCCAGUGGUUUCAUGCUCAUACGCCGUGCUACAGCCGUUCCUAUUUGCUUCCCGCGUCGCGUGUAACAAAAGUCGCACCUUCAAGCUGCAAACAAAAACAAUUUGCAUCCAGAAUUGUAUUCUAGGGAUUUUCCCUCGAACUAAACUUUGGGCCCCCCUUUUUUCCUUAAUAUUGACCACACUCACCCGAGGCAUAUACGACGGGGAACUCGCACAGCUCGUCGCUGGCGCCCAAAUCCAUGAACAGCUCAAAAGUAGAGUCGAUUACCCACUCGGGCCUGCGGGUAGAGGUGGAGAUAGUGGUAGAGAUAGAGGUGGAGGUGGAGGAUCGGGUUGGAGAUGGGAGUUUAGGGAGGUGGACGGGGCAGGCUUGGUGGUAGGCGUGGGUGGGGUUGGGGGCGCAGUAAGCUUCACAGGAAGGGAAAGGCCAGUGCAAGGCUCCAGUACAUUCUUGUUGCCGUACCUGGCUGCCGGGCGGUCAAUCUUGUUGACCACCACCACGACGCGCUUGUUCAGCUCCAGGGCCUUGCGCAACACAAACCGGGUCUGAGGCAUAGGGCCCUCCACGCUGUCCACCAGCAGCAGGACACCUGAAGGUGUACAGCAAACCGUACGAACAGUACUUCGGAAAAACAUCACAUGAAAAUCAAGAGCCGUCGGGUCACACGUGUAUCUGUCUUGAGAGGUGGACCCAACCUGCCGAGUUUGUCGUACGGGUUUCACGCAAAUGCCUUUUCCCGCCACUCCCCCCAAUUCCCCAAAACCAAUGUACAAUUCAAACUCUUAACCCUUCCCCCAACCUAACCAAAUUGCGUCAAUGGUUACCGUCUCCUGAACCAUCGGUGUUGUCUCGUAUCAGGUCCUCUUCCAGGUCAACCUCCCUACAAAAUCCUAGGUUACACCGUUUACGGACUUCACAGCCGACCCAUCUCCUUCAGCUAAAUCCGACUAUCAACCUACAAAGUCACACUAUCUUCAACACGCAUACACCGACAGACAUACAUACUUGCCUCCCACAACCCCAUUACUCCCCACAGCCCUCCUCCCCAAUCCCCACCCCCACAACCCGCUCACCGUCGCACAUAUUAAUGACACGCUCCACCUCGCCACCGAAGUCCGCGUGACCGGGAGUGUCAAUAAUGUUCACCUGUCGGUUGAUCGUGGCGACGGUGCGGCAAUCUGCUGGUUGAUAUUGUGGCGUCGGAUCGUUCACGUGCCCUCCACUUCUCAGCUCCCUGCUAAUGCAUCACCCACCCAACCCCCGCAAAACCCUAGGAACCCCCAAAUCGCCCCCAGGACUGCGACCUAGCGUCCUCCUCCUACACGGGCUAUCCUCCUGCUUUCCCGUGUCAUCCAGGCCCCCCAAGAGCGGACACCAACCCAGAUAGUAGAGCCUACAUAGGUCUCCCUACAACCCCCCUCCACUUCUCUGCCGCCUCCAAGCUCGCUUCGCCCCCACCUGAAAACAAACGAGCCCCUUCAUGCCCUUUUUCUUAAUCUCCCCAACCCCCCAACCCCGUCCGCCUUGUGCAAACAGCAGCCGCGUCCAUGUCCCCUCCGCCUUAGCUAAAUACCGGGGCCCCUCUCCUUCGCCCCCGUUUUUCAAAAGACAUCAACAACAUUCAGCUCUGGCCCCAGCUCUGCGAGCCCGCAGGGGGAACCCACACCUUGAUGCCGCGGUACCGCACGGCUGUGUUCUUGGCCAGAAUGGUGAUACCGCGCUCGCGCUCCAGGUCGUUCGAAUCCAUGAUGCGUUCCGCCGUGUUCUACAUUUCAGCAAGGAGGAAGGAUUACAUGCAAAUACAUGUAAAAUGGAAGGAAAUGAACUACUAGAGAGCUUUGAAGUAGACAGCUGCCCUCUAUGCAUCUUCCACCUCCCAAUCCCCCCCUCCUAUACACACACUUCCACCCUCCACUCCCCCAUCCCCACACAAAGAGACGCCCAGACGCAAACACGGCACAAACACCUACCUGGUUGUCACGGAAGACCUUGGACUGCUUCAACAUGGCAUCUACCAGGGUGGUCUUGCCGUGAUCGACGUGGGCAAUGAUGGCAAUGUUGCGAAUGUCCUCGCGAACGGAAGAGCCGCCCGAAGUGCCGGCGGCUGGGGGUGCUGCGGCAACGUGCGCGACAGCAGCAAGCGAAAAAUCACAUCACUCACAUGACAUCACAUGACAUCACAUGACAUCAGAAGUUGUACAAUAUAUGAUGUCCUAAUGUCGUAGGAUCAGGCAAUGUGUGGUUGCUGUACAGCGGUCGUUUCUUGUUCCGGUAUCUCUGCACACCAGCAUUGGCCGGGCGUGGCGGUAGCAAGAGGGCCGUGACCCAGUUCGCGGUGGUACUGGAAGGGGUCGUUGACACACGGGGACGGAGUGCGUAGGAGAUAGGACGCCAACGCGCCACCCAUGACCAAAACUCGCUACUUAUUUCAAUGGUCUUCGCCGCGUGUAUCGGCGGAGCGCAAUUGUCCGUACGUAAUCACGCCGCGUUAGAAAGCAUAAGCCCCGGCCUUUCCCAAAAUCCGCAUUCCCUCAAUAUGCCUCCUGCCCUUAAUCUUCAGUCUAAAAGCCGUCCCCGUGACGUGGGUUUGCGAGUGGGACUGCACUGCAUGCUGAGAAGAGGCUGCCUCUACUCCCUAUUGAGGCAAUGGCCUCCUUGCUGUCCUGCAAAUGCCAGUGUGGCAGAGACAAAAGCGAACGGAGAACGUACCGUCCACAGUGGCAGUGCGGCAGACGAUGUUGGGCUGGGGGCGGGAGGGUGCAAUUCCCGGAGCCAUGCGCGGGAUCGGGGUUGCGCGAGAAGCGAGGGAGGCUCCUGGGGAUGGGUAAAAGGUUCGGGCAGGGGCCGAAGCAAAUGGAUACAAAGCUCGGCAGAUGGGUCACAAAGAUAUUUGGAUCUGAAAUAUGAAGGGCUAGGUAGGUGUGGACAUGUGGAGAAGCUUGUGCAAAAAAGGUUGCACGAAAGGUUGCACAGAAUGAAUUGAGAAAUUCUUGCCAAGUACUUGUGUUAAGCUUCAAGCUUUGACUUUUCUCCCAGGUGCAAUGCUUCCUGAUUUGUAGAGAUACUGCGCUAGUUUGAAAGAACAGAAGGGCGGUGACUGCGCGGCUUGCCGCUAAACCUCAACUAACACAAAACGAUAGCCCAGACGGCUUGAUGUCGAUGGCCGGAACAAGGGUUCAAGCGCUAGACUAUCGACUUCAAAAGCUAUGUUGUAACCCAGCAAACAGCUCCACGGCAAUCCUCUGCAUUUCUGCAGACAUGCCCUCACCCGCCGUCGACGCCCCGGACCAGCUCGCAGCAGGCACCACAGCGUCCAGCCGAGCCAUGCCACUUGUCCUAAUAGACCGGCCCGCCUGGCGCGGCGUCAUCUUUGCGUUCAGGACCUGCAUUUUUGUGGUGGUAGUUGUGAGGCGGGCUGAAAGCCGACGCCUUUAAGAGGAACAACCGUAGCAGCAAAAAGCUGCAAAACGAUUGAUACGCUGGGUGCCAAACGGCUAAAAAGUAUCCAAAUCCGGUAACGGGGAGCCCAUAUACGGAUGACCACCAAAAUUUCAGCCGCGCAGGGCCCAUUAGGACCACCACAAAGAAACAGAGCCACCCCCGUGACUUUCUAUCUUCUUACAAUUAACAUAAUGUACAUAGUAAUGUUGAAAUAUUCAUUUCCUUUGCAUGCAAGUCGCGUGUAGUGGAGCUCUGGUGGAGCAUAUGCUUCUGCGCGAAGAAUACCGGCUGCUGUGCAUUUUUUUGCAAAAAGACUAUACAUUGCCUUGAGGCAUACUACAUGUAGCCGCGCGUACACGUUGAACGCCUUUAUUGAAGCGUUCGGCCCUAGUACGAGAAGUCGCUUCACAGAGCAUUGGAGUUGUAAAGUUGUCGUGAUUACACCUCAAAGUAGUAAUACCAGCUAGCCACUCUGCGGCGUCGUUUUUCGCUUGGAAAGGGUUGCGUGCUGCACGUGCUGCCGUGAUAUGCACGUGAAUCCGCAGCUUUUCACCCGCUAAACAUAAUGGGAUUUUAGGUAUGGUCAUUUUUGGUAUGGUCAUCAUUCGUUUUGAAUAUGGUCCUUUCAGCGCGCAAAGGCUUUAUGAAGCUUGCAAGCCUCGCAUACAUGUGGCUGGCCCCGGAUUUUCCACGAGUUAUGCAUGCGGAUUGCUCCGACCUCAAACUGGCAACUCGCUCCACGCAACCAGCAUAUAAAGUAACAGUCAACAAAGGAGCAAAGGCUCAAAGCGGAGGGGCACAAAGAUCGCCCGCACGUGCGUGCAACAGAACAGGUGCAAAGGACAAUAAAAAGUAAGAGUUCACAGAUAACAGCUUGCAUGCGACCAUGCAGGUCAAGGGCUCCUUAAGCGGCCCUCUCCCCAGACUAAACUACCAGUUUUAGAUAUUUUGGCCUAUUAUCGGUUCCCCUACACCCAACCCUAGGUUGCCGUACAACUUGCCGUACUCCGCUAAUUGACAAUCCUAAAUACGUCCUUGCCAACCGACCGCUCCAUACAUACACACAGACAGACAGACAAACACAGCAAGUAAGCUAAGCUGCAGCAUAUUGUCCCUGAACUGAAAGUUUCAGGAUCGACCCCAACAAAGAGCGAUUUAAAAUGCCCUCCAUUGCCGAUGGACGGCGAUGAACCCUCCCAGUUUUAGUGAAGAUUUCUGCGAACCGCCCAGGCGUGGAGCGGAGUGGAGCUGACACCGCCGCGGAUUCUGCAUAUUCCGCUGGAUGUCGGGCAUGAGGUGCUGAAAAAAAACCGAAAAGGCCACUGAGUUCGCAGAACUCACGACACAUGGGUGAGAGAAGGAUGAUGAGGGUAGUGCCCCGGGGGGGGGGGGCAUGGGGGAAGGUAGUAGGGACUGCUAGGCUAGAGACCACGGGUGAAGCUAUGGCCCCUUACUUCUCACAAUUACAAACUGCUCGACAGCCCCAACCACGAGACCAUCAAGCAAUCCAAACUGCUAUAAAUAUAAAUAUAUGUGUAUAUAUGUAGUAUUUCUUUAUUUGACAACCGACUUUUUGCUUGUCAAUCCAAACACCCAAGGGGUGUCCGUCAGUAUACACUCGAGCAAACGACGAAUCUAGUAACCAAACCCCUAUUGCAGGGCCGCCCGUCCUUUCUCCUAAAGGUGAAAGCAAAUCUCCGCCUCCGCCUCCUCCUCCUGCUCCCCUCCCCACCAAAACUCCGCCGUCAAUUCCCCUCCUAUCUCCGCCGCAGCGGUUGACGGACGGACAUUAUUAAUUACGGACUCUCCUGCCCAAUCCCAGGCACGGGGAGAAAAAAGCGCGAGGGAAAAACCCAGCUCCGACAUGCACCCCACCCCCACCACCCAACACAGUCGCUCUCCCCUCCUCCCCUCUCCCAUCGGGGCGACAGCCGAGCCGCCGACCCCACAAGGUACGCGGCCAGCUAGCCAGCACCCGCCCGUCAGAAGGAAUGCACCGCCCUACUCCAGCAGGAAAUCACAACAACAGCAACAACAACAGCAACAGGAAAAGGGAAAGCGACUGCAGAGACACACACGCGCACACCACAUGUGGGGUUCGUCGCCACACACACACACACACACACACACACGCGCGCGCGCGCGCGUUCAGCCACGUCAAGCCCGGCAAAGGAGCGAGAAAACAUGGCCGUGCCCCUUUUUUCAGUCCGUGCUCGAGCCGUGAGCGAGGAGGUCAAGAAGGAUCUCAAUGCAGACCCGGACCUACCUCCUAGACAAGCUGUGGACACGCUUUCGAUAGCCGCGUCUCCCAAAUCUCCCGACAAUUGCUGCCCGGAAAAAUUACGACACGCGUCUCUGGGCAAAGACAGCAGAGGUGCGCUCUCAAUGCCUUAAUUACUAGCAGACAGACAGACUGACAGACUGACUGUCGGAAGUGGCUUGUGUGGGGAGGGGGAGCGGGUGGUGGUGAGAAUACCUCGGAAGCGGACGAGCAAAAGAUGCAAAAACAGUAAAAGCUACAAAAUUUAAAAAGCCAAAAGCGAAUCACGAAGCAGCGUUUAGGGGGAAGACUGAGCGAGCGACAAAGGGAGAGUGAGCGAGGCACACACACAGACACACACGCACAGAGAUACACACACACACACACAGACACACACAGACACACACACAGACACACACAGACACACACAGACACACACAGACACACACACACAGAGACACACACACACACACAGACACACACACACACGCACACAGACACAGAUAUCAAAUCUCGCCACGCAGCAAAAGCACUGCGCCGCGCAGUACCACGACGAACAAGGCACUCGUAACACAGCGAUGCGAUCCUUUCCAAGUGCCGGAAAACUGCACCCAAAAGGUGCACCCAGGGCGGUAUUAGCACACGUACACAUUCGCGCAUACAUACAUACAUGCAUACGUACACGUGAGUCACAUCACAUUGUAUCACGACUUCAGAAAAAAAGUACCUAUCGGCAGAAAUAUCAAAUCCAACGUGACGAUGCACCCCCAUGGGCGUACAUGCACCUGCCCCAUUCCUGACAUCCGCCGAUCGGUAGUACUUCUCUGCACCGAUCGGUCGCGACACAAAACACAUCAAGCACCUGCUUCACCUGCGAUCUGUCAGCAACCCCGCGCUCAGCAGCUCUGACAGGCUGACUCUCAGAAGCUUCAGGAAGCGAGGCAGGAACUCUCAGAAGCUUCAGGAAGCGAGGCAGGAAGCACGAGGAAGCGCGCAAUUGAUACAGUUUAAUCAAGAUCUCCCCCAAUGCCUAGUGUUAGUGUUAGUAUACAGUUGAUAAGCCACACCUCCAAGCUCAUCAGCUCUGCAGCUCUAUUCCCGGGACACGCUCUAACGUCCCGAGCAUCCCUCCCUCACCACAACACACCAUCACAGCACAGCCACAUACAGCACGUUUUGGCCGUGAACUAACAACAAGCCGAGCCGAGCCGCCCACAGUGUAACACCCCAUCAAGAUGCUUCUUAGGUUUCAGGUGCGGCUCGAGGGCAUGUAUACAUUCAUUCAAGGACGUGCAUAUGGCCUAUAUAGGCCACAAACAGCCUAACUGCAUGUCCUCGUGCUGUUGUCAGAACCCUAAGUUUUUCGAUUGCAAUAAUGGUAAAUUAAUAAAAGUCAUUGUUAACAACACAGGCAAGAACAACGACAACGACAACAGCGGCAACAUGACGUAUUGAUAGAUCUGCCCGCACCGGCAUCAUCACGCGCGCGCGCGCGUGUGUGUGUGUAUAAAAUACCUUUAGUUCGGACAACGUCUACCUCCUAGUGCACGGGUAGUAUACACACGUGCACGAUGGAAAAACCAUUCCCGGAAACCUACACACACAUAUAAUGCCGGCCAUCGCACCCCCCAUCGAUGGUGCUACAGACACACAUACACACACAUACAGACCCGGUAAGCUCUACAUCUCAUUUUUUGGCACUACUGGUAAGGCGCGACCAUUGCCCCCGGGAGAUCCCGGGAUCGAUACCCAUUAGGGUCAAAAGUCCUUCCGAUGGUGGAAGGCAUUGCGCCCCUAGUUGAUGGACGGUGGUGACCUGGGAUAAAGUUAACCUGCGAGCCGACCAAUAAUGGAGUUGGGCCGCUGUCGACCCGGCAGAUUCCGUUGGAUGCUGGUGGUGGGUGCGGAACCUGAGCGAUCCACUGAAAAGUUGACUAGGGUGACUGGAUGAGGGUGCCCCGAAAUACCGGGGAAGGCAGGGUUUCGCAGGGUAGCUGCCACGGGCGAAGAUACACCCCCCUGUUUCACACAUCAUACAUACACAUACACGCAUCAGAAAUACACCCCACCAACACCGCAGACCUUUCCUCCCCCUUCCCCCCCCAAUUCCCUCGAAGAUUCUUCAAAAGGGUGAUCCCAGCAGCGGGUACAUCCGGGAAACGAGCAGAGCGCGCUUCCAUCCCACCGUCAAAACCGCCAAAACCACCAUCACCGCAGACGUCAUCGAAAACUGCAAAACACCGCGCAUGCUGCAGCUAGAUAGCACAUGCACACACACACACACACAGAGCUUGUGGUCGCGGGUUUCUAAUCUUUCCCUUUGGGUUCGCUUUCUAUCUUCUAUCUUCAUGAAAAACUUGCAUUGCCUGGUCUGUGUGUGUAUAUAUGUGUUUGUGUGUGUGUGUGUGUGUGUGUGCGUGUCUUGACUGCCCUGGUCGUCUCAGGCUGUCAUCAACAAGCUCGUCUCAGGUGCAGUAAUCACGCACGGCCCGCUGUCCCGCCGGCUCUACUCUCCGUGAGUCUUUAGCCCACUGUACUAACGGCACCCUCCCCCCCACAUACAUAUACACAUACACACUGCGAAUGGCGGGCGCGCCGUACACGUACACGUAAUCGGCGCGCCGUACAGGUACACGUAGAGCUAAAGUCACCGCCCCCGCGCGACACCGCCGUGUGGAAACAACCCAGCGAGUGCCAGGAGGAGGAGGCGCCGCUGCAAGAGGAUUACGACUGGGUACCUAGCAGGCCGGGCACCCUCCCCUCACCUCCCCGCUCCAUCGCUAAAAUGCCGAGAUGUACGGCAGUGUACGGAGUGGAAACGCAAACGCUUUCGACCCGGGGAGGGAAAAGGACAAAAUUUAAGGGAAAGCGCCGGGAAAUCUCCCAAAACACGCCAGCAGCGUCCCCCCCUCUCCUUCCCGCCGCCUCAGGGAAAUGGUGCCCGAGCUCCAAUAACCAUGCGCGCCGGCACACUGCGCCACUCAUGAAGCCUUUCCUUUUGUCAAACAAAUAUAUUGGAUCUGUAUUGUGGAUCGAUAACCUCAUUUCUUAACUCUAUAGCGCACGACACAAUUAUCUAACAAUCAAAGCGAUUGUGGCGCCAAAGUUUUCGCCAAUGCCGACGCCAAUCCGACCGGCGGCAUAAGGACCUUUCGCGACCCUGGCCUAAUUAAGCCACAUCACACCAGACCUAAAACAGGAGAAGCCAAAUUAAGCCAAGCCAAGCUAAGCGCCGGACACAAGCCAUUUCUGCGAAAAUUGUUGGGUUCCCGACGAGACCGUCAGGAUCCUACGAGGCGAACAGACCUCUGUCUCUCGACGAGAACCUUUUUCCUCCUAUCUCCUGGGCGUCCCCUUUUCCUUCCGAGACACAUUCCUACAUUGCGGCGUUUUCCUUUACCUGAUUUUGUGGUUUUCAAAGCCUGCAUUUCAAAUUUUGCACCUCCCUCACCCCCAAAAAAAUCAGCACCUUUGAAGAAGAGCAACGCAAUACAAGGUGUUUUAACAAGCAAAAAAAAACAUCCAUCCAUCCAUCCGUCCAUCCAUACAUACAUACAUACAGGCACAUCCAGACACGCGCAGGCGCACAUACAUAGGCGUUUCACAUCAUAUCGGCUCGCGUUGCCACCAAACCCUCAGAUAAAUGCUGCACACGUCCGGGAACGGCACGAACGGCAAAAAAAGAUACAGCCCAAGAGCCCAGGAAGCUUCUUCCCUUGUACUGCAGUGUACGAUGCAAAAACCGUAUAUAACAACACUAAUAAUAUAAUGCAAAAACAAAAUAUCAUCAGCCCCUAAGCAAGCAAAAAGCCUGAAGGCAGCAGCUCGGUAAGGAGAAGAUCACCGCCGGCGCGUGCAGCUCUACACAACUCAGGCACCUCAAACAUGGCUGGGGGAACGGCAGUGCGGACUCCCAACACUCCGUGUGGGGGGAAACCCCACUCACGCUCAAAACCUCCCCCGAAACCGCCUUUUCCACAGAGGCCCCUGGCCCACCGUACAUUUGUCCAUCCCAACAGGAUCAUCGGUUUACCUCUUGUAAACUUAAAUUGCAGCCGCGCAGUCUUGCGGUCCACAAAUCGAGGUCCUUUCCAUCGCCUCCAAAUUAAGACCCCAGGUUAAGACCCACACACGCAUUUUUCCAGGUAGCCUCAGCGCCUCAGCCUCAGAUGAGGGUUCCCCCCUACCCAGGCCAUUUAUGUAAUAUGACGUAUGUAGACGUACCGCAUCGGAAUCAAAACAUGGGCAAUCGGAUGUAUGUAUGUGUACGGCGGAGGUCGUGUGUCGUACACACGUGGCCAGUGGCCUUUGGCUGCUUCACUUGAUGACAUCUAAAAGAGCCCGACCGGAUCAUCCACGGCUAGCAGCUCAGCCGCCAAGGAAGUGUCGGCGCCGCGCAGCAGCGGAAGCUGCUGCUGAAGCCGCUGCUGCUGCUGCUGCUGCUGCUGCUGCUGCUGCCUUUUGAAGCGGUGCCUCUCGGGCUGCAAGCUAUGGCGCACAAACAGGCGGUCACGGUGACGCAGCGGCGGCUGCCGCUGAUGAGGAUGAUGAGGGUGCCGAGGGUGCCGUGGUGGCUGGCCGUCCCCCAGUCCCUCCUCCUGCUGCUGGUGCUGGUGCUGGUGCUGUAGUGGUGCAAUGUUGGGCGCUUGAACGGCCCCUGACUGUGGUAGCAGUAGCUGCUGCUGCUGCGGCGGCGGCGGCGGCGGCGGCUGUAGCACCGCCAGGGACAGUGAAUCGUCUGUGCCGCCGACGCCGACGCCUCUCAUCGUCAACGAUGCCGGCAUCGACCAGCGCCCAAACUCGGGUUGCAUGGAUCCAUUCAGGUCUCCGGACAACACGCAGCAGCUGCUGCGGUUAUUGUUAUUAUCGCCGCCACUGCCGCCGCCGCCACUGCCGCCGCCGCUGCCGCCGCCGCCGCUGCCGCAGUUAAGCUGUGCCAAAAGUGAUGAUGCCUCGCCGCCACUGCCGCCACCCCCAGAGCUCGCCUUUGUCAGCCCUAACAGCCGGGCCAGCACCUCCUGCUGCUCCAUUUGCUGCUGCAUCAACGCAACCUGAUGCUCGUGCAUGAGCCGCAACUCCCCCCACAGCCUCCGCUGCUGCAGAAGCGCCAUGUCGAGGAAGUCCCCAUCAGGCAAUGAAGCCCCCCCAACAGGCAACUGCGAAGCCGCCGCCGCCACCCCGGCACCCGCGGGGCUGCCGCCGGCGCUGCUGGAGGGAAGCUCCGGCGGCGACGUGUACGGGAAAGUACGGCAGCUGUUGUGGCUCAUGCUUGGGUCCGCAUCUGAAGUUGGUCUGUGGCCAGCAACGAAAGAGGACGUUUGCAUCUGCUGCGGCUGUGGCUGUGGUUGUGGCGGCGGCUGCUCUUGCUGUUGCUGAAGCGCAUGCAGUUGUUGUUGAUGCUGCUGCGGUAACGGCUGCAGGGCCGCGUUGUUCGUGGAAGCUGCCACUUCAGGCAAUGUAGCAUUGCUCGUUCUCGAAACGACGGCUACUUCCGUCGGGGUUGCGGCUGAAGCUGUAGCUGCGGCUGCGACGGCCAAGGUGUUCAUGGUGGUGUCGGUGGUGAUUGCCAUGGCGGUGGCGGUGGUGGGAACAACGUCACUGGUCAGGGUGCAGGUGCAGCUGGAAGCCGUUGCCAACUGGGGAAAUGGACUGGUGGUGGGCGCGGCGGCAACGGCCGCCCCCGGGGCCUGAUGCCCCACUCCAAGACAUGGCAACCCUGCCCAGCCAGGAGGCUGCUGCUGCUGCUGCUGCUGCAUCAUCAGCUGUUGCUCCUUCUGCUGCGGCAGACACUGUAAGUGCUGUUGCUCUACCUGCUGUUUCUGCUGCAGCUGUAGCUGCGGCACUUGCUGGCCCCCGGGGAGCAGAGGCCCCUCAGCUCCAUCCUCAGCAGCCGCCGGCACGACGACAUGCACGGCACUCGGCGUCCAGGCUGAUGCUACAGCGUAGUCCUUCGGCAGCUGCAGCUGCUGCACUUGCUGCUGUUGCUGCUGCCAAGUCCUGGGCUCACCUUCGCCUCCGCCGCCUCCACAGCCGCUGCCGCCGGCGCCGUCCCCUUCUUCCUCGCCUCGCCUUAGCGGUGAGGCUGACGCCGCCGUUGCCGCCGCCGUUAAGUGGUACGAUGAUAGCGGGUAGCAGGUGCUUGCGGCGCCGCCGCCGGGGCCCUUUACCGCUGGCCAAGACCCGUUGUCUGCACCAGCGCCUGCCGCCGCCGCCGCCGCCGGCCGCUGCCGCAUUAUAGUACCCUGCUGCUCCACCACUUGCUGCGCCGCUGUGACGGCGGCGGCGCCGCCGCCGCCAGUAGCUGCGCUGCUGCCUGGCUGCAACAGCUGUUGGCCAGGUACUUGAGGCGUCAUUGCAAUUGUGGCGGAGGCUGGCAGCGGCGGCGGCGAUGCCGCCGGCUUGGUGCUACAGCCACCUAUGAGAUCCCCCAGGAGCAGCUGUAGCUGCUCUUCCGUCUCCUCGCCAACUGCCUUCUUCCUGAUGGACCUCGUGGCAGUGCUACUGCCCGAGCCCGGCGAUGACUCCAAUGAUGACUUCCCGACUGCUACUGCUGCUACUGCUGGAUCCCGCUGCCGCUCCCGUUCCCGAACGCACCGCUGUCGCCGGCUUUGAGCUACUGCCCCUACUGCUGCUAUUGGAUUGGCUGCUGGCACGUCUCCCGUUGCCGCAGCGGUUGAUUCGGCUCCCGGUACUCGUACUGCCGCUCCUUUCGGUGCCCCCGCCGCCGCCGCCGCCGUCACCAAGGCUGGGGCUGCCCCUGCGGCUGCACACGUCUCCUGCUGCGUGGAGGUGAGUGUUAGCUGCUGCUGCUGCUGUCCUUGUUGCUGUUGCCCUUGUUGUUGCUGCUGCUGUCCUUGUUGCUGUUGUUGUUGCUGCUGCUGCUGUUGUAUUAGUAUCGACUGUUGCUGUAUUAGCAUCUGCUGCUGCUGUAGCUGCAGCUGUAGCUGUAGCUGCACUAACUGUUCCUGAAUGUGAGCAGAAGGCUGCUGCUGCUGCUGCUGUCGGCAUACCGUGCUGCCGCUGCGGGUACUCCACAUGGGCUCACUUUGAGCGCUGCGAACCCACAUGGGCAAGAGCUGCUGAAACGAGUCCGGAUGAGAUCCGCCGGCGCCGGCGGCGGCGCCGCCGCCGCCAAUUUGCAGCUGUAGCAGCGGCGGCGACGGCUGCAGCAGCAGCGGCAUGGACCCCGCCGCGGCCGUCACCAGCUCUUCUCCUGUCGUGGGUGACCUUGCCGCCAGGGCGCCGGCGGCGGCAGCGUCAGCGACAAUGGCGGCGGCGUGGGCGCCUUGCACGCCCCCCCUUGACGACGGGACCCACCCCGCGACAGUUGAAGAGCGCGUGAAAGGACCUGGAGGCGCUACUGCUGUUACAGCUAUCUUCCCUGGUGCUACUGCCGCCAGGGAUGACGUUGACGGCGCCCCGUACACACCCGGCGAGCUGCGGUUUGCCGUCGCGGCGUCGGCGGUGAUGAGAGACGGCAGUAGCGGCGGCAGCAGCAGCGUGACUUGCGGCUCCGUUUGCGCCGACGGCUGCGGCGGCGGCGGCGGCCUAAGCGGAACCGCCGGCGUCAUUGUUGCCGUCGUCCAGGGAACGACAGCCACGUCAGCAUCACGAUGAUGACGUGUCAGUCCUUCCACCUCCUCCAAAACGCCACCCAGCAGCACCCGAAUGUCAUCAUCGUCGUCGCCGCUGUCGGGCUUCCCUUCAGAGCCCCACUCUGCCGCCAGCUUUGCGAUCAAGAUGCUAUCACCUUGAGACGCUGCGCUGACGGCAUCGGCUUUUGCUGCGCCGCCGUCGGCGGCAUUUGCGUCACCUGCCGUACCUUCUGGCCCUGCCGCUGCCGCCGUCGUUGCAAACGUGGCCGUCGCCGCCGCCGCCGCCGCUGCGGCCGUGCCCUUGGUGGAAUCGAAUCCACGACGCUCGGCCUUCUCGUCCAGGACGAGCGCACCAAGGACGAGCAUCGUCGCCCCCCGCGGUGUCAAUGGCGCGGAAUCGCGCCCCACUCCGCCGCAUGCAGCAGUAGCAGCAGUGCGAGCAGUAGCAGUAGAAAACGGUGACGGCAACAACGCGCACGUUGUAAAAAGCUCAGCCGCCGCCGACGGCGACGACGCUGCCGUUGCCACGGCCAAGGAGGACCGUCGACCAAUGCUGCUCCCUUCCCCCUGCGCAAGUGCGAGCUGCCGUUGCCCCAUCGGCGACGCCUGAAGGGGCUUUUCGCCGCCGCCGCUGCCAAUGUCUCCAUCUUCAACCAUACCCGCAGGACCACCACCAUCGCUACCAACGUCCUCCGAAACCAGUCCAAAAUCCCGCCGUACAACCCCGAUGGGCGACCCAGGCCUGUCUUCUGAAGCUCCCCUUGCGUCAUGGGCGCUGCUCUGCCCACCUAGGUUGUCGCGCUGCCGCAAAUGGCAAAGCUGCCGCUGCUGCCAUAGCUGCUGCUGCUGCUGCUGAUAAUAAUGAUGAUGAUCCAGAGAGCCUUGCAAUUGCAAUCCUCCUCCGUGGGAAAAAGGUGAUGGCAGUAACGUUGUCCCUGCCGCCGCCGCCCCCGCCACUGCUUUCGCCACGGCAGCGUCAAGCGCCGGCUCAGUCGGGCCCGCGCUGCUGCAGUGCCGUACGCUCGCAGCGGCACCAUCGUCGUCGCCCCCCGUCGCCGCCGCCGCGUCCUCAAACACAAAGCUCCGCCGCCGCUUGAAGCUGCCAAAGCUACCGACACUCUGCAAGCCCGUGAAGCUGCCGCCGCCGCCAGUGGCGCGGGGCCCAGCACCCAGCACCGAGGGUCCCGCCGCGGCGGCGGCGGCGCUGCGCCUGUAGAAAAUGCUGCCCGUACUGUUGCACCGAAGCUCCGCCGACAGCUGAUGCUGGCUCGCGACUUCCUGCGGCGGCGGCGCCGACAUGCGGCUAAACAACGGGCAAGCGGCGGCGGCUGCCGCAUUCACUCCGCCGCCGCUGCCGCCGCUGUACCCGCCUGACCUCUUAAAUCCCUCAUCGGUCGGUCCGUCAUCCGUACCCCACCAGCCGCCGUCGCAAUCUCGCGGCAAGCCGCCGCCGUCACCGUCGACCCCAUCAGGCCCGCCGCCGCCGCCGCUGCUACUGUCCCCGCCGCCGCCGCUGCCACUAUCCCCACCGCCGCCGCCGCUACCCACCGACGAUGCUCCGCGUGGCAAGCUGGCCUGUCUAGACUGCAGGAUACGCUGUAGCGAGGGUUCGUAACACAGGUACGGCUGGUGCACGACGGCGGCGGUACCGCCGUACUUCAUAAACUUGCGGCCUUGCAACAUCUGAAGCAUGUUUCGCUGCUGCUGCUGCUGCUGCUGUUGCUGCUCCUGUUGCUGCUCCUGUAGCGGAAGCUGAUCCCCAGCUAACAGCCACUCUGAAUGGCCACCGUUGCAGCGGUUUCGGAGCGCGGCGGCCAGAAAUGGGGAUAUUGCAGCUGAGGGCGGGGCUACGGCCCAGGCAAUGCCGGAGGCGCCAUUCGGUUGACACAGGACUGACGGUGCAGAACAGCGGGCAAAGGGACUCAGCCGUGACGCUGCUGGUACGGCGGCGGCGGCGGGACCCUCUGCGGAUGUUGCCCACGCUGGCGGGCGGCACGGUAACGGAGCGGCAGCCGACGCCGACGCCUGCGCGCCAACGCUGCUCGAGGAGCAGCUUAUACAGCUGGCCGUUGCAGGCGAUGCAGCCAUGACUGCUGUAGAUCCAGCUGCAGCUGCAGCGGCGCCGCCGUCGGCAGUGACAUGAAUCUGUCCUCCCCAAACGGCUCCCAUGCCGCCCCCCGCCGCCGUCGCCGUCAGCGCCGUCGAGGCUGCUGGUGCGUCCUCGCCGCCGCCAGCGGCGGUGCUAUGAGCCCCCAGAGCGCCCCAUGAAGGCGUCUGCGGCAAGGGGUGGGACGUGGCGUCUGAAACCACACAAGCACAGUGGGGCAUUGCUGCGGCCGCCAACGCCACUACCGCUGCCGGCGCCAGGGCCGCUGCUGCGACGGCUGCUCUGUUCGACGGCUCAAAGGUUGCGGUUUUCUUCGAUACGGCGGCCGGCGCGUGCGACAACGGCUCCGAAACCGGCUUGGCCAGCUGCGCUACGGGCGUUACUGCGACGGCCGCAUCAGGGGGCGUCUCAGACGCAGGUGACGGACGGGCGAAAUGGCGGGCAGCUGCGUGGGUUGAUAUCCAUGAUGAAUCGGUGGUGGCAGUGGCAGUGGCGGUGGCGGGGCCCACUUCCAUUGCCGUCGCUGCUGUCCUUGUUGCCGCCGCCACCGCGGCCGCCGUCACUGCUGCUGGUGCUGGUGCUGCUGGUGCUGGUUUGAGCACAGGCGGCAGGGUGACCAGCGGCAGGGAGCGCUUGCGGAUCGCGGAUAUGACAGCGGUGCUGCUAUCGUACAGUGACGACGUGCAUGCCGUACCCAUACCGCGCUGGCGAGCGCGGUUUUUGAUCAGCAUCAUGCGGCAGGUGCUGCGGGCCGUGCGAGAGGAGACGGCCGGAGGAACGUGUGGGAUCGGGUUAAUGAGAGGUUCGAUAACCGACAUGAUUUUUGGGGUCACGGUCUUGGGCAGUGUCACGGGGACUGGUGGACGUGGAUCAUCUGAAGGGCCACAGAAGAACCCUAGCGCUGCACAAGUAUGCCCAACCCGAGCAUCAUCCUACUAAAUUGCAGGUUAUCUACGGCGUUAUGUACCGCUAAGACAUAGUAAGAAGUCCGCAGGCCUCACACGCACCGAUUAGAGCCAUGGAACUCCUUCAGCGGGUGGAACCUGCUGCACUGUUGGCAAAAUCGCGAAGCCACUCCAUCGACCAAUAUAACUGGAGCCUUUAUGUGCAAAUUGCACAAGCGGAAGCGCUGAUGGGUCUUUGGCGCCGACGUCAGGUCGCUGGUGCAGCCGGAAACCUGCAAUUAUGCGAACUCCUCAGAACUCCUCAGCAUUCCGUUUCUCCCGUCAGAAUACAGACACUAUGAUCGUGAAAGUCGCACUUAUUGCACAGAAACUCUCUCGAACGCAACGCCGUCAGGCCUGCGGGCCUGCAAUUAAUGGCUACGAUACCUUGCAGCGUAAAGGCGCCGAUCCCCUCCGACACCCAAGCAUGGAAUCAAUGCAGGUGCCUUCAUGCUUAGUCCAAAUAACGGGUAAACCCUCCGCAGCCUCAUAGUCUUGGCUCUCUCCCUGUUCCGCCUCCAUUCCCAGCACGAUCAAGCUGCCUACUACUUUAAACUUUGCACACGGCUUUAGGUUCGGCUUGUGCGACUCAUAGCGUUAUGUCGACUGGAAUGAACUGUUAAGCCUGCUGCAAGAGGUUAUCAUCAUUCCAGGCAAAGAGCCAAACGUCGUCAUGGUAUUGCCUAAUGAAUUACCAUGUACUGUUUGAGAGUGGGUACACGUGCGAUAGGCAACGUGGAACCUUGGAAAGGGCACGACUGUGAUUAUUAAAAUCCAUUAGGUCACCCAGCGCGAUGGACAAUAUCACAUAAAUUAUUUCGCAGGUUUACGGCUGUAACAAUAUUAAUAAGGAGCUCAAGCCUAUGGGUUAACCACGUGGAUUGCAGUAAAGCAAAGCAUAUACCUGUUCCUGCAAAGUCAUGUGCGCAAGCAGGUGGAGCUAAUGCUUUUUUACAUUUCAUGCUAAGGCAACCAUGCGUGGCCUCCAUCAGCACACAAGACCCGCUGGAUGUGCCGCCGUACUUCCCCCGGUAAAUCCCACUGUUUGAACCCAAGAAAAAACGCACGUCCCUCAAACAUAGGCGACUACACAAAAGCCAUCCUUGUUCGCAAUUAAUUAAUGUUAGCACAUCUCGUCAGAUCGCGCCAAUCGACAUCGCUCGCUGCCAAAACUGUUUUCCGGAGGACCUCGCCCACAGCCACCUCCUGCACUCUACACUCCAAGCACGUUACACGUAACUAAACGUUACGUGGUCAUUCUAAAUCCACCCCCUGCAAUAAUCAUCUGCCUUGAAACAGCGUUUUUGAAACAUCUGUCGUCCCGCAGGCAAUUAAAGCCAGACGUUGCCUCUGUUGCCGCACAUGCCGGCCUCAAGCGCCGAGCGAGACGCCAUCUUUUGGGCCCAAAGAUGCGGCUCCAAUUAAGCUCCCGCCACAAGCUGCAGGUCCAGCAGCUCGUCCUGUACGACAUCACGGGCGAAAGGCACUUACACUUAAAUUACGCUACGAAACUGGAUUCCAACAGGCAUGCCACCAUAGAGUUUUGCGUUUUAACAACAAAGGACCUCAGCCUCUGGAGAUGACAGUGGGAAAAUGUUUUUAUCUAGAGGUCCACACCGCCCAGGCGAUCAUUGCGGGGAGCACCCAAUUCCACGUCUUCACACAUUUCAUCGCAAAGCCGUCAGCCCCGAAACCCCAAGCGGUUCAUUAUUACCUCGGAGAUGGUCAUAAUCUUGCAGUCGGACUUGGGCGUUGCAACGCAGAGAAGCGUGUAGCCCUUCUCCGCCACGUCAUCCGAUAACAUGGAACCGCUCUGAUCCACCUUGCCACUCACCUGCGGUUUACACACGUUCGAAGUAGGUAAAGCCGAAUAUACAACAAGAUGCCUAAUGCAGGUUACACAGCGACCGUACGGUGGAUACCGACAGGCUGGUGGUUUGGCAGGCAGGCAAACAAGAGUCCAUGGGUAAGACUGCAAAGUGCAAAACCUGCUUGGCUGCAAUUUGGGUUACUCGCCGUACUUUUAAAGGGCAAAGACACAGGUCUGCUCCAUAUGCGCCGGGGCGAGACAAUAUAAGCCCAGUAAAGCAGUGGGGUUGGACAGCACACUGGGUGAGAACAAAGCACAAAAACAAGGCAAAACCGACCCGAAUGCUCAAACAACGGCCCAGAAAUGGCGGAACGGGGGAUAUAGUCCAAAAACAUCACCCGGACAGGGAACACGGCAAUUGGCUGAGGCAUACAGGCCAACAUGCCUGGGCUGCGCGGGGAUUAAAAGGCGCCCAGCCUAGGGCGCCCAAGCUUCCCGUUCCCGGAUGCAUCACACUCAACCUAUUCCUGGAAGGAAAUGCGGGUAGACGCACGAUGGGCGUUCGUCUCCCCGAACCCACCAGCUUUGCCGGACACGUCAUGCACACGCCCAGUUUGCAGUCGUGCGGGAGGUCGAUCCCCUUAUCCAGAGCCACGGACAAAAUGGACUCGCCCUCGGGUACUGCCAGAUCAAACUUCUUGCCUUCGUGCUCAACUUCAAUCUGUGGGCAAUGGCACAUGCACGAAUUGUGUGGCCGGGAGGAUUUUGCCUGGCAUCGUCAGGAAUGGCAGGUGUCCAGUUGCCAGGUUGCGGAAAGCAUUCUUGCCAUGCUUUCUCCUAAAUGAUGAGGUCAAAGGAACUAAGGAACACUGCUUUCCUACGUUAAUGUAAACUGACCUUGUAGGUCGUCCGGGUGGCCCGCGCGGGGAUGCAAAAGCUGCGCGCCGGGCGCUGAAUUCCAAACGCCUUUGGUUGGCAGGCUCGGAGGCUACGUGAUGAGGUCGUGGCCAUCGCAGACAUUUUCGCACAACACUGGAAACUGAACUGCGUGCCGCAGGUAAUUACAAUCCUAAAUAUCAAUUGACAAAGAUUAAAGCGUUGCUUUUGUCCUGUAAUUUGAUAGCAAUAAAACAGGAAAAGGUUAUAAUUAGCGACUGAUUUGUGCUUGCAUCUUGCAGCCGUACAGUCGUUCGCGACAAUUUAUGGCUCGGGCUAGCGGCUAGGCGCACACUCCUGGUUUUGUAACGCGAUUUUGCGCCUUGCCGAUGGUGGUGUUGAUCAACUUCCCCGUUACUCCUUCCUGCUUUUCGUAAGGGUAAUUUUGCUGCUCUGAUAUUCAUUCUCCGUCUGAGGCAACUAAGCCCAAAUGGCGUCCAGACCUUUUAUCAAAUGCUUCUCCUUACGAUUUGUUCGAAGCUGCAUGAGCACAACCGUGAACUGUUCCGCGUGGAAUGGGUUCCGUGCUUUGGCGACCUGGGGAGCUACAUUGCAGGAAAACAGCUCCCCAGCCGCGGGCACGAAUCCACAAGAUUGCUCUUCCUUCAACAUGGUGGGCAGAUGGUCCUACGCGUUUUAUUGACCUUACCGGCCAGUAACUCCCACGUCGGAGUCCUUCAUGUGGUCGUCUGACGCCUUUCCUUACGUCCAAGGCCAUCAUUAUUAUCCUGCGCACCCCCUUAUCCCCCUUCCUCAAAACAUCAUCUUCAACGCACGCUCUCCCUCGCGCUGCGGGCCAUGGGGUGCGGUGCAGGAAAAGCUAGCUACCCUUAGCACCCCCUCCCCCAACAUCAACAUCAACGCCUCACACGCUUUCCCUUCCCACUCCCUCCCCUCCCCGACGAAAUGCUCAUCUGGUCAGCGUCGUCGCUUUCGUUCCUCUUAACCCACACCGGCCCACAUACCCAUCCCCGCAUAUUUUUACCUUUGCCCUAGGUAAAACUUCUUCACCUCACCCAUAUCCCCCCGAGAACAUUCAAAGUCAUCAUAAGAUCUGAUACGCAACCAUGUCUCAGCCUUUCCCAGAUUUCCACAUAGCAUCUUGAUGCCUUGCCGACCGACAUCAGGGAGUAUCCCGUCUGAGCCCAGAGCGGCAGGCCACAACCUCAACUACAACCACAACCUCGACAACGGCAGAGCCACAACCUCAACAACGCAACGAUCACCCUCAGGCGCCGCUCGACUACUGCCGCUGCAGCGCGCCCUCCCCGAUCUUCAGAACAGGCCCGGUUACCAGCGCCGCCGCCAUGUGCUCCUCGUCCUCCUCGUCCUCCUCACCUUCACCAUGCACAGUCACUGCGGCUAUUGGCGGUUGUGCAACCUCCGGUGCAGCUGCAGCCACAGCUACAGCUACCGGCCGCCGUCAGGGCCGCGAACGCACAGUUAGCAGCGCCGCCGCGGUCACAGUCGGCGCCUUUUCCCGGCAACCAGGGUUGGUCAUCGCCGACAGUGACGAUGCUAGAAGAGCUGAUAGGAUCAGCAGCAGCUGUAGCAUUGAUAGAUGCAGCAGUAGCACGAGCAGGCAGUGGCAGUGGCAGUGGCAUUACAGGGCAGGCAGUGGCAUCGCCAACAACGCAAGCUACAGCACGAAUAGUGCUACUGCCGGCGGCGGCACCGGGGGCACUGGGGGCCCGGGGGAAUUCCGGGGUGACGACAGCGUCGCAGCGGGUCUGCGGCCUGACCCCGGAGAUGCACGAGGGGAUUCGUCGGAGAACAGCAGUACGACAGCGGCGGCGGCAGCAGCAGCAGCAGCAGCCGAUUCGUUGGCGACAGCAGCAGCAGCAGCGGGCGGCUCUGGCAGCUCUGGCGGCGGCGAUGGCAAUCGUGGUGGCGGCGGCGGCGACAUGGGGGCAACACUUGGCCAGAUUCAGCCGCGCCUCAUGCUGGUGUUCACGUGCGGCAAGUGCGAAACGCGAAGCACAAAGUCCUUCAGCAAGUGAGUCGGCUCUUGAGAGGGUCAGUGCUGGUUGGCGGUUGGCAGUUGGUGGUUGUGCGAUAGGGCAGGAUCGGACAGGUAAGAUAUACGCGCGAGCGAAGAGGAUGGAGCCAGGAGGAGGAGCAGGCCAGGGGCGGAGCAGACGCGCGUGCGCUUGCCGGGUCGGGAGCGCAAAGAACAGGAAAUGCUGCUUUUAUCGUAACUUCUUUUGCGAUUACGUCUAGCCUAAUAACAUGACACACUCUUUAUCACGAUAUUGAUGUCUUAGCGGAUAAAGAUUGUGCGUGUCGUCUUUUUCCUGUGGAUUUCCCGAUAGUAAAUUAAUGUAAUGCAUACUGUUCGUCAGUCUAGAAAUUUACGCAUACAUCGCAUUGGCGUACGACGGCUACAGCUACGGCUUUGCGAUGCAGGCAGUCGUACACUCAUGGUGUCGUACUCGUCCGGUGCCCCGGCUGUCGGAAGCUGCACCUUGUCGCGGUAUGUGGCUGGGUGGCUGGCGCUGGUUGAUUGGUUGGUUGGCUGGUUCGGCGUCCAGGAAGUCUGGGCAACAAACUUGCCGGUUGCUUGGGUGUUGUUGGCUUAAUCGAUUGUUUCCUGCUGGAGUCUACAAGCGAAGCUGAGUGUCGCGGAGCUUGCAGGCAGGGUUUUGGAGCGGCAUCGGUAGUAUGUAUGUAUGUAUAUAUGUGUGGGGAGCGAUUAUGAGCGAAUAUGUAUGCAUUUCCCAAGUGAAAUCGUUUUCCCUUUGCACCCAUUGCUGCUGCUGCCGCCGCCGCAACCUAGCUACCAGGCGCUAUAUGUCAACGCCCUGGGCCAUAAUGGUUACCGCGUUUGAUGAUGGUCGUGGUCGUGGUAAUGUGCUGGUUGUCAUCAUCUGCUUGUCUGUCUGUAUAUACGUAUAUACACGUGUGCAGGACCAUCUAGGUUGGUUUGGGGAGCAGCCGUUCAUGUUGCACGAUUUCAUGGCGCAUCAAGGUGAGAGGUCUCACGCCGUGCACCGCCGCACUGCCGUACGUACGUUGCCAUACCGUCUGCCAUGCCAUAUGCAUGUCACGCAUAUCAUAUGGAUCAGGAUUCACGUAAUCCACGCACCGCUAUGAAUUGGAAUUGGGAUAUUGUCGGCGGCAUAACGGCGAUUUCUUAGGCUACUGCUCUUGCUACUGCUCUUGCUGCAGCAACGGGUACGACUGCGUGCUAGAAUUAAAACUGCCUCUGACUUUCAUCACCUUACUUUAUAGGUAAGGACAUCGUCCCGGUGACCAUGAGGAACGGAAACACUACUCGCAAUGGUGACGGGGAACUGACUACCACGUCAGAGGCGACGACGACGACGGCGGUGUUGGCGGCGGAUGCUGCUGCGGCGACAGCUGCGGCGACGACGGCAGUGUCGUCGUCCUCACCGUCGGCGUCGCCGUCAGGGAUUCCAAGCUUGGCGGCUCGUACCGCCGCCGCCGCUGCAGCCGUCGAGGUGUCUGAAGGCGGUGUGUUCGAGCUUGGCUCUGAGCUGCAGGUACGUACACGUGCACGCGAUAUGUGCGCGUUCAUGUCUGUCUGUCCGUCUGUCUGUCUAUGAUGGGUGCACAAACACGCAGGCGUAUAAUAUUGCUUGUUAUACGCAUACAUGUUCUACAUGCUGGUCGGAGGGCCAUAUUAAAUCUACUGUGUCAUAGGAGUGCUUAUGGAGUGUUUAUACGCGUGUACAGUACCUGCUGUUGCUGCUGCUGUUGUUUUCGGGCCGUAAUCCAUUUUUACCAUCUUCCGGUCUCCACCGUGGCAUAGCCUGUCCCGUCGCAGGUUCGAAACGCGCUGGCGGCGGCUCGUGAAAUGCAGAGGUAAAUAUGAAGAUGUAUACGUAAAGUAGGCAGCAGGAUGGGUGGAUGAGGAUCAAGGUUUCUACGCGGAUGACGUUUUGUUUCCUGGCAACGACACCGGGGUGCAUGGGGGAGCUGCUCAACAUUGUGGACAUGUUCUGUGAUGAUUUUUGAGAUGCGGCCAAUUGUGUCGAAAUGUGGAUGCGUCGCUUUUGUGAGCGACAGCGACACAAGGAGUGCUGUUCAAGCAUUGCGUAAUGAGUUCAGAUGGUGCGGCCGCACCGGUAAGGAGGGUGCGCAAUAUCUGGGUUUAGUGUAUGGACCAGAACGGCCGUUUCAUGCCUGCCGCCAGAAGUUGUACGACACAGCUAGGGCAGCUAAGUUCACGCUGAGUACGAAAUUUGAUAAGCUAAAGUUGUUCACCCCGGAUGUCAGGAUGAGGUGUUUCGAUAUGCAGGUACGAGCAGUAUGGUUGUACGGUUGUCAAGUGUGGCUGCUGCGGCAUUGAUAGCCAUAUUGUACAUGAGAAGCACGUCCUGCUGGACUGUCCGGUGUACGACGAACCAGAUCUGAUAUGUACGCUGAUAUGAAGUGGGAACCUGAGUGUCUGGCAAAGAUGCUAGAACAUAUCUCCUCUUAGCACGGCCAGCUGAAGCGACGCGCGAUGCAAGUAUACGUGACGAACCGAAAUGCCCCACGCUUCGUAUGAAAAAAAAGGGCAACAAACGCACAAAUAGCCCUAGAAGCGAGGACUGCAGUAUAGCGAAAGCACAGAAGAGCGAAAUACGGACGGCGGCGAGACAAGGGCUCGGAUCGGCGGCCACGGAAGCCAUGGGUGACUCACCGGUCACCCUCGAGUCCCUUAUGACUUUUAUAAAGUCAGAAUUUGAACGCUUCAACCAGAACUGGCAGCAACAGCUGCCGGUGAAGGUGGAGCAGCUAAAGGGAGAGCUCAAGAAGGAGCUCAAAGAGGAGAUCAUGGGGGAGCUGCAGGUGGACCAAACAGAGAAGCUUUUCCGCCAGGGUCGGCUCUUGGUGCGGACAAAGCCUUCGCUAGUUGAGCAACUGCCGCAGAAGUUGAGGCAGUCACUCCGCGCCAGAAAUCAGUACGCGGAGAUUGGGGUUGACAUCUCACCGUGGCUGGACACCCGGGCGGCUGCACCGACCCUAAAGCUGACGGAGGUGGGCCGCUUCAAGGGCAUGGCCAUGGUGGACGUCAUUUUCCACGCAGACAGCCGGGGGUUUGUCAUCCAAGCCCUCCUGCAUCUACGGCGCCAGCUGGGAGCCAACGCUAACAACUUCAUCAUUCAGGACUCGCUGACGAAGCGAGGCCUGGAGCUGAAGACACAGCGGACAGCCACAUUCAUUUGGCUACACGACACUGAGAAACGCGACGUCCGCUGGGUACACGGUGUUGACAUAGCGGUGAAGAACAACGGGACAUGGCAGCCAUACACUGGACCGUGGCAGCCAAGCCACGCACCGAACGGCAACGGUUCAGCAACAGGUGCAAAUACAACAUCGAUCGGUGGUGGGACUGGAGCGAGUGGAAGUGGAGGCAGUGGGCGAGCGUGGAGAGGCAGCGACCGCGGGCGAGAGCAGGGCGGUCCCCUGGGAGGGGCACCCCCCUCCCCGGGGGGUACGACAAUGGACACCGCCUAGGAAGCCAACCGGAGGUAUGAACCGCUUCGUAUAGUCCAAUGGAAUAUACGUGGUGUGACCGACUGGAAACUGGAACAGCGUGAACUACUUCGACUCGCCUUGUGUUACGACAUUGUUGUACUUACUGAAACGCACGGGUCACUUGUGGGUAGGCUAUCUCGGCUGAUACCUAAUGGGUCUUGCUGCUAUCUUGCUGGGAAGUCUAGAGAACGGGGGGGUGUUUGCGUUUGGGUGCAUCAGCGGAUCGCACGUCAUGUUACUCACUGCACAUCGACAGACGCGCCAAGAGGCAUGAACAGUGUCUGGCUGAGAAUUCACGGUGAAGCCCUGAAUUUUGGAGGGAAUGGUUUGGUUAUUGGCGCCUGCUACGCUGCACCGCUCGGAUCUCGGGCUUACACAACUAAUGGACGAAGACCACAGGAUAGUGUAACACGACGUGUCAUGGACAGGGUGUGGUCGCUGGUGAGACGAUAUCAGCAACCUGGGGACGAGGUUUUGUUGAUGGGGGACCUUAACUCCAGGGUAGCGGAGAUCCGUGAACUGCCAGAUGUUGAUGGGGACGCUGAGUUAGCGGAUUAUGUUCAGGCUGAGCUGGGGCAAGCCAACCUAUUGCGUUCUAUUCCGCCACGCCUUUCAGAAGACAAAACUGAUAAUGUGUUCGGAAGAGCCCUGGCUACCUUGUGUCAGGAAAUGGAGAUGGUUGUUUUGAACGGGCGGGUCCAGGGAGAUUUGCAAGGGGCGUGUACUUUUUGGAGUCCGACGGGGAACGGCAGCAGCAUGAUUGAUCUCUUCGUAGCAUCACCCGCCCUUUUCUUCAAGUCGAACCAAUUGCGCGUGCUAGACAUUCCUGUCGCACUAACCGGCGAGAGAGUUGGUAGCCUCAUGAGUGACCACUGCCCAGUGUCGCUCGAGCUGGGGGUGCUGCACGAGGGCGUCAACCCAACUAGAAGGGACAAACCUACGACACGUUUUGAGGUCCAACACAAAGGCCGGUACGAGAGCAUGUUUGCUGCUGAUGAUGCCCCCGCUGUGCGGCGCAUUUCAGAUGCUGUUAGCAAACUUGGAGGCGAACUCGACAGCACCGCGUUUGUUGAAGUACUCACUCGAGCCUGUUCAUCAGCGUUGGAGAGGGCUUUUUGCAAACGGUGCCCAGCACCCAAGCGUGUGAGGGAAGAAAAGGAUGCGCCCUGGUGGACCCAGGAAUGCGCAGCGGCACGCAGCGACAUGUUGCUGCAAAAGGCACAUAUGAGGGCGCAGGGACUACUUGCUGAUGAGCAGGCGCGGCAUAUCUUUACACUCCUGCGCUCUCGCUACCAGAGGAUUAGGAAGGAGGCAAUGGCUGCCCAUCGUGUAUCGCAUUUUACUUCGUUUCUUGAGGAGUGCAAAGGGAAUCCGCGUGCAUUGUGGCGGCAACUUAACCAGGGGGCGACACCUGAUUGCCCAAUACGUGACGUCAACAGCUGGCGCGAUUAUUUUGACGCACUAUACAACGACGAGAUCAACGCUUUUAAUGAGGUUAGAGCGGAUUACAUGAUGAACCUCGUAAAUGGGUGCUCACUUACAAUACCGCGCGGCUGGGCUGGUGAGAGCUGCUUAGCCCGAAAUCAGAGAGUAGCUGCUGCGGCGGCCCCCGUUUACCUUGGCAGAGGUCAUUGCUGCACUAAAAAUGCUGGGCAACAAUAAAUCCCCAGGACUUGAAAGGGCCCCUGCUGAGUGCUAUAAGUAUGCCACUAGAAAGGUGGGCGAAAAGGAAGAGAUGGUGCUUGCACCGUAUUUGCUGCGUCUGUUGGAACAUAUCCGGUCGACUGGGGAUUACCCAAGGCAGUUCGAGAUAUCCGCCCUCNNNNNNNNNNNNNNNNNNNNNNNNNNNNNNNNNNNNNNNNNNNNNNNNNNNNNNNNNNNNNNNNNNNNNNNNNNNNNNNNNNNNNNNNNNNNNNNNNNNNNNNNNNNNNNNNNNNNNNNNNNNNNNNNNNNNNGCUCUGCGUAACAAGCUGCGCCGGCAGGGUCUGCUGCUACCUAGCGUCGGCAUGAAGUGUUUCAAUGCGCAAGUUCGUUCUGUCUUAUCAUACGGCUCGCAGGUGUGGGGGGCUGACCAGGUUCUCGCGAUGUUGGACAAGGGCUAUCCGGCUAACGAGGCACCGCGGUCAUGCUAUUUCGAUGUGGCUAUACGAGACCGCAUGGUCAAGCUCCAAAUCUUUUUCAUGAAACAAUUGGUAGGGACUUCUGUACCACCCCUCCAGCUUCUGUUCAUGGAGCUAGGUCAGAUGCCGCUACAGCUGCACUGGGCUGAAUCCGUAUUUCGCUUCUGGAAUAGUUUGGUGGAGGACACUAGUAGCGUAUACCACAGCGCCUUUCGUCAGGAAAUUCGUUUGGCGUUAGUAACGAAUUUACAGUUUGAUGGUUGGGGAUCCAAAGUCAUUCGUAUCCUUAACCACUUAGAGCAUGACUGGGGUGAGGAGGCAGUCGGGGGAGGCAUUGAUAUGAGGGUUAGACGUUACUCGGCUUGCAAGCUUGAUGUCGAAGCGCUGAUGGAUACCCUUAGGACACGUGUCAACGACGACUGGGCGAAUGAUAGGCUAGCUGUGGACCCUAGAGUUUUCGUUACGGACGGUAGGAAGCCCGGCGUGAAGAUGGGCCGCCAUAAGCACUGGAUGGGGCCACUGAAGCCGUACGCGGGUUAUAUCCCCCCGGCGCAUCAUCGUGCCCUAAUCCGCUUUCGUUUGUGUGUCUCUGACCUGGCGGUUAACAGUGAGAGCAACAGGGCUAGGGAGCACCGCGUGUGCGCUGUGUGUCGUANNNNNNNNNNNNNNNNNNNNNNNNNNNNNNNNNNNNNNNNNNNNNNNNNNGAAAGCUUUUGACCGGGUUAAUCGAGAGCUGCUCUGGGUUAGACUUGAGGAACGAGGAGUCACGGGCUCUGCGUUAGAUGUCAUCAAGCGCUGCUACAAUCGGGUGGAAAUGCGAGUCCAGGUUGAUGGAGCAAAAGGAGAGGCGAUUCCCUCCACCCAAGGGGUCAAGCAGGGUUGCCCUAUGAGCCCCACGCUCUUCGGUUUUUUUGUCGAAGGUUUUGCAGAUUACAUCGAUGCCCUAGACGUCGCACUUCCUGACGCCAUGGCGGCCCAUGACACCCCUAGCGUUGAAGGACGUCGAGUGCCCCUAUCUCUCUAUGCUGAUGACUUGAGCCUCUUCGCGAUGUCAUUGAGACGGUUGAUGAGCUUAUUACGGGCACUGCGGGAGUGGUCAGAGGCUUUCGGUCUCACUGUCAACGUGCAAAAGUGUGAGUUAUUGUUUUUUCACCCCAAUGGUCAGGUUAGAAGGCAGGUCUAUGCUCUCAGCGGAUACAACCUGGUCACCAUGCGCGCACUUGAAGAGGGGUUACCGAUCUUCCGUCCGGUCACUUGGAAAACACGCGCCCGUUAUCUGGGGCUGCACUUCGGACCAGACUCGGGUUUUGUGUCUUGCACGGAUGAGCUGUUCUCGGCUGGCCAACGGGCCAUGUUUGCUCUGCGUAACAAGCUGCGCCGGCAGGGUCUGCUGCUACCUAGCGUCGGCAUGAAGUGUUUCAAUGCGCAAGUUCGUUCUGUCUUAUCAUACGGCUCGCAGGUGUGGGGGGCUGACCAGGUUCUCGCGAUGUUGGACAAGGGCUAUCCGGCUAACGAGGCACCGCGGUCAUGCUAUUUCGAUGUGGCUAUACGAGACCGCAUGGUCAAGCUCCAAAUCUUUUUCAUGAAACAAUUGGUAGGGACUUCUGUACCACCCCUCCAGCUUCUGUUCAUGGAGCUAGGUCAGAUGCCGCUACAGCUGCACUGGGCUGAAUCCGUAUUUCGCUUCUGGAAUAGUUUGGUGGAGGACACUAGUAGCGUAUACCACAGCGCCUUUCGUCAGGAAAUUCGUUUGGCGUUAGUAACGAAUUUACAGUUUGAUGGUUGGGGAUCCAAAGUCAUUCGUAUCCUUAACCACUUAGAGCAUGACUGGGGUGAGGAGGCAGUCGGGGGAGGCAUUGAUAUGAGGGUUAGACGUUACUCGGCUUGCAAGCUUGAUGUCGAAGCGCUGAUGGAUACCCUUAGGACACGUGUCAACGACGACUGGGCGAAUGAUAGGCUAGCUGUGGACCCUAGAGUUUUCGUUACGGACGGUAGGAAGCCCGGCGUGAAGAUGGGCCGCCAUAAGCACUGGAUGGGGCCACUGAAGCCGUACGCGGGUUAUAUCCCCCCGGCGCAUCAUCGUGCCCUAAUCCGCUUUCGUUUGUGUGUCUCUGACCUGGCGGUUAACAGUGAGAGCAACAGGGCUAGGGAGCACCGCGUGUGCGCUGUGUGUCGUAGUAAUGGUGCUAUUGAGGAUGAGAAACACUUCCUGGUAGAAUGUCCGGUGAUUAUGUCUGCGCGUCAGAAGAUCUGGGACCUCGGUGUGCCCGUCAAUGCGAACAUCCGUGAUAUCAUGCAAGUGGAUGAUCAGCGUGGUCUUGCAAAGGCUAUUUUUGAGAUGUUUCGCUCCCGGCAUGAGCACCUAACUACCUAACUUUCUCGGCGGUAAUAGGCAAUUGUGUUUCAGAGUCAAAUUGACGCUGUUCUUUCUCAUAAACACCCGUUUUCUUCUUGCGUAAAACUUUCCUUUUUUGUUGUUUGUUUUGUUUGCUUCGUUUACUUUUUCUCUUUUUUUCUUUUCCCUAUCGACGGCGCUGUCAAAGCGGUUCAUGAGCCUCCGGGUUCGUUUGGGCCGUACGAGCUCGCUGAAGCUUGUAACAUCCAUCCAUCCAUCCAUAGAACAUAUGUGGUCCCACCGCAAUUCUAUCGUCCCCUUCGGCCAUUAGUCUCCUUUACCACUUGCUUUGUCUGAAGUGCGAGGUAGGAUGGUGCUUAUAGGCGUUCUGGCAGCCCUUCAGCCCUCGGCUUCUAUUGGGCGGUUUGCAGGUAUAGAUAUGCACCCCCACGACCAUGUAACACACACACACAGACACACACACACACACAGACACACACACACACAGACACACACACACACAGACACACACACACAGACACACACACACACACAGACACACACACAGACACACACACAGACACACACACACAGACACACACAGACACACACACAGACACACACACAGACACACACACAGACACACACACACAUCCUGAUCCUACUUGCCAAGGCGAGAACGCAUCAGGGCGGUGUGGACUGUUCUCGGCAUACUCACCUUUAGGUGCCCUAUUUGACUUGCUAUCAUCGGGCGAGUACUCUACUCCUCAUCCACAUUUUAUUGCGGCAAGUGGUGAUGCCUGGUCUACCCUAGUUCCUGGUCUGUCCAAAUUCACAUCCCUCUCCGUCUACUUUGGAAAGCCCCCCAGGUCCACUGCGAUCUCCGGCCGUUCCCAGUCUGCCAACCACCUCCUUCGAAACUCCUUCAGCAGCGCAUCGACCGGGAGCUCCAGUCACACAGUUAUCCGUGCCUUCCCUCCUGCAUUACUGUGCCCCUCGUGUACGUGCGGUCUGUUAUCAAAGCCAAGAUAACAGGAGGUUCCGAGCACCUUCCCUGCCCAGAAGAGCCCACGCGGUCGCCCUGCUUCAAAAGCCAUGCCGCGAUCUUCGCCCUUUCAUUAAGGCCCGCGCAAGCGUUGCGUAAUAACUUGUCCAAAAAAGUAGCGAUGUUUCUGCGAAAAAGUUGCCUAUUGAUUGGGAGGUAGCUUUGAACCCCUUUGGAAAAGCUUCGGCACAUCUACCAUUGGAUCCACCAUGGAUCUCCCCAAGCUCCCGCGGAUCUUCUGAUCCAUUUCAGCCCCAUCUUGUCAGGAGCGCCGCAUUCUCUCCUCUCGUCCUGACCCUCUUCACUACCCCCAUCUCAGCCAUUCCGUCGCCUGUCGUCUACCCGUUGUCCUUAGUAUCUCCCAGAUAGCCUCUUGGCCCCCUCACACCUCUGCACCGUACGACAGUAUCGGCCGGACUUGGACCUCAAAGCCCCGCAGCAUGAUGUCUGGGACCUGA
rnacentral:lncRNA from 1 species